rnacentral:sRNA from 21 species
AGGUGUUUUAGUAGUAGUGGUGCAGUAUUCUAGUCAAUUAACCUAGUUUGGAAGGCGGGGCUAAAAAUCCGUUGAAGGGCACAUCGAUGAAGUUCCUGGUUUUGGCUGCCGACGCCCAGUUGGGGGUUAUUUCUGGGAGUAAAGAGAUGGGGGCGAUCCACAAUGGCAUGUGGGCGAUGACCCUCCCUCUGUGGAGACUACCUUAGAAACAUUGUUUUAAAAGUGGGAGAAACCUGCAGAAUAUGAAAGACAUAAACUGUAGUGUAGCCUGCCUUGAGUGGCAUAGGUGGAUAAGUAGAUCAGUUUCUUGAAAUCAGGGCCCGACGGAGAGGAUCAUCGCUAUUUGAAACCUAUGCUGCAAAAGAGGCUAAGAGUUAGCUUAAUUGCUGAGGAAAACUCCUAGACUGUUCUUUUCUAGAAGUAUAUUAAGGAUUACAGUGCGGACUAAGUGGUAAUCCAGUCCUAUCUCUGGCGACAAGAUAGAUAUCAUUUUAAAGGGAAACCGCUACUUUGGCGACAGGUAGUAGUGAUUUGGGAAAUCCAACUGGACCUAAGCCGUAAGAUUUACUUAGUAUACUACCACUACUAUCAGCUGAUAG